rnacentral:rRNA from 1 species
CCUACGGGUGGCAGCAGUGGGGGAUAUUGCACAAUGGGGGCAACCCUGAUGCAGCGACGCCGCGUGAGUGAAGACGGUUUUCGGAUUGUAAACCACUGUCUUUGGGGACGAAUUGAGACGGUACACAAGGAGGAAGCUCCGGCAAACUACGUGCCAGCAGCCGCGGCAAUAGGUAGGGAGGAAGCGUUGUUCGGAUGUACUGGGUGUAAAGGGAGCGUAGGCGGGUUGGAAAGUUGAUGGUUAAAACUAUGGGCUAAACUGGUAGAUGCGAUCAACACUGGAAGUCUUGAGUGAAGUAGAGGGAGGCAGAAUUCCUGGUGUAGCGGUGAAAUGCGUAGAUAUUAGGAGGAACACCAGUGGCGAAGGCGGCCUGCUGGGC